rnacentral:tRNA from 1 species
GCCCAGCUAGCUCAGCGGUAGAGCAGGUGACUCUUAAUCACUUGGUCCGGGGUUCGAAUCCCUGGCUGGGCA